rnacentral:rRNA from 1 species
AAGUCAGCAUGGCCUUUAUAUCCCUGGGCUACACACACGCUACAAUGGCCAACACAAUAGGUUGCUAAGCCGCGAGGUGGCGCCAAUCCAUAAAGUUGGUCUCAGUUCAGAUUGUAGGCUGCAACCCGCCUGCAUGAAGAUGGAGUUGCUAGUAACCGCAGGUCAGCUAUACUGCGGUGAAUACGUUCCCGGGGCCGUU